rnacentral:rRNA from 1 species
GACGAACGCUGGCGGCGUGCCUAAUACAUGCAAGUCGAGCGUAGCUGCGGAUGGGUGAGUAACGCGUGGGUAACCUGUCCUUAAGUCUGGGAUACCAUUUGGAAACAGAUGCUCAUACCUGAUACUACUGGUUUGACCUGCGACGCAUUAGCUAGUUGGUAAGGUAACGGCUUAACAAGGCGAUGAUGCAUAGCCGAGUUGAGAGACGGAUCGGCCACAUUGGAACUGGGAAACGGCCCAAACUACUACGGGAGGCAGCAGUAGGGAAUCUUCCACAAUGGACGAAAGUCUGAUGGAGCAACGCCGCGUGAGUGAAGAAGGUUUUCGGAUCGUAAAGCUCUGUUGUUGGUGAAGCGGUAAUCAACCAGAAAGUCACGGCUAACCACGUGCCAGCAGCCGCGGUAAUUC